AGCAGCCGCGGUAAUUCCAGCUCCAAUAGCGUAUAUUAAAGUUGUUGCAGUUAAAAAGCUCGUAGUUGAAUUUCGGGGUCAAUAAGUUGGUCGUGCCAAUGGUAUGUACUGGCUUUAUUGAUUCCUACCUCUUGACGAACUGUGAUGCCAUUAAUUUGGUGUUGCAGGAAAUCAGGACUGUUACCUUGAAAAAUUAGAGUGUUUAAAGCAGGCUUACGCUUGAAUACAUUAGCAUGGAAUAAUGAAAUAGGACGUUUGAACCUAUUUUGUUGGUUUCUAGGAUCGACGUAAUGAUUAAUAGGGAUAGUUGGGGGCAUUAGUAUUCAAUUGUCAGAGGUGAAAUUCUUGGAUUUAUUGAAGACUAACUACUGCGAAAGCAUUUGCCAAGGAUGUUUUCAUUAAUCAAGAACGAAAGUUAGGGGAUCGAAGACGAUCAGAUACCGUCGUAGU
rnacentral:rRNA from 1 species